rnacentral:rRNA from 1 species
UACGGAGGAUGCGAGCGUUAUCCGGAUUUAUUAGGUUUAAAGGGUGCGUAGGCGGAAUAUCAAGUCAGCGGUAAAAAUUCGGGGCUCAGCCCCGUCGUGCCGUUGAAACUGAUGUUCUUGAGUGGGCGAGAAGUAUGCGGAAUGCGUGGUGUAGCGGUGAAAUGCAUAGAUAUCACGCAGAACUCCGAUUGCGAAGGCAGCAUACCGGCGCCCAACUGACGCUGAAGCACGAAAGCGUGGGUAUCGAACAGG